GCUGUUCAAUGGAACUCUGAACAAUGAUGGAAAUGCCUGCGUUUCCUGCCCGACCUUCUCAUCGCAAACCAUUUCAGCACUUGUUACUUGAAGACCACUAGCGUGAGAAACUGACGUUUUCAUCAGAUUUAAUUUUAAUUUACCGCGUACGUACAACGAAGCACUGUCCUUUCCUUAAACAAUGAGCACACCAGGGGUAAGACAACUGUUUUGAAUUUCUUAACUCUAAGAUUUCUUCCUAAACAGAAAUGUGAACUUUGGAUCACCUACAGCGAAAUACUGGAGAGCCACUGUGAGUUUUUCUUGUUUGUCUUUUUUUUUUUUUUUUUUCUGUUGCUAAUCUCAAAAGUCUUUGAUGUGAUUACACUUUGAGACCUUGGAUGGAAAAAAUAAACCCUCAAGCAGUAAACAAACUCCUAAGUGCUCAGGUUGAAAAGAGUCAUUCCAACACAACAGCAGCUAUGCAGUUGAGGGGAGUCGCCAAGUCCCCUAGCAUGCUGAAAAAGCUUCACCCAGGCUGGGGCAGGAUUUUAACCUCAUCUGUACUUCCUUAGCAGAUAUGGCCUGUAAGCAGACGCUUACACGGGACGUAUGCACGGGACUAGGUGGCACCGUUCUUAAGGCGAGUCAUCUAGACAUUACACACCAAGGCGACAGCAGAAACAAAAUUCGCUGCCAAUGCGUACAGAUGUUUAAUCUCUAGAACUGCUUAAACCAC
rnacentral:lncRNA from 1 species